rnacentral:rRNA from 1 species
UAGGGAAUCUUCCGCAAUGGACGAAAGUCUGACGGAGCAACGCCGCGUGAGUGAAGAAGGAUUUCGGUUCGUAAAACUCUGUUGUUAGGGAAGAAAAAAUGUAUAGUAACUAUAUACAAAAGAGACGGUACCUAACCAGAAAGCCACGGCUAACUACGUGCCAGCAGCCGCGGUAAUACGUAGGUGGCAAGCGUUGUCCGGAAUUAUUGGGCGUAAAGCGCGCGCAGGUGGUUUAGAAAGUCUGAUGUGAAAGCCCACGGCUCAACCGUGGAGGGUCAUUGGAAACUAAUAAACUUGAGUGCAGGAGAGAAAAGUGGAAUUCUAGUGUAGCGGUGAAAUGCGUAGAGAUUAGGAGGAACACCGGUGGCGAAAGCGGCUUUUUGGCCUGCAACUGACACUGAGGCGCGAAAGCGUGGGGAGCAAACAGG